rnacentral:lncRNA from 1 species
AGAUGGAGGUCAAGCAGAAGGGGCAGAGGAUGAACUGGAAGUCCGGGCAUCAAAGAAAGGUCUAUGCAUAUGAGAGAAAAAAUACCUAGGGAAGGAGAAAAAGGAGAAGAAACAGACAAGAGAGAAAGGAGAAAGAGCUGGGAGCAGGGAAGGAAUAGAAGGCCAGCAGGCCAGUGCUGAGAAUGCUGGGCAGACCCCCUGCCAGGGCCUGAAAUGCUGCCAUUGGUGACUCAACCUUUUGUCUUCAAAACUGCAAGGGAGAAAAAAAAUCUCACACUAGGGGGCACCACAGCUUUUAUCAGCAAUCCCAUUAGAGGCUAAGGCUGAGAGGCAUGAGAGUGCAAGUUCAACGCCCCCUUUGAUGUUGGAAUCAAGCUGUCAGGGGUUCAGUACCAGCAGCACAGCCAGGCCCUGGGGAAGUUUCUUCAGGACAUCCUCUGGGAAGAGGCCAAAGAGGCCCCAGCCGACAAGUGAUCGCCCACAAGCCUUACUCACCUCUCUCUAAGUUUAGAAGCGCUCAUCUGGCUUUUCGCUUG